rnacentral:tRNA from 1 species
UAUGGUCCAGCGGUGAUGACGUCAGCCUCUCAACGUCGCGCCCCGGGUUCAAAUCCCAGCC